rnacentral:rRNA from 1 species
GAUGAACGCUGGCGGCGUGCCUAAUACAUGCAAGUCGAGCGAACAGAUGAGGAGCUUGCUCCUCUGACGUUAGCGGCGGACGGGUGAGUAACACGUGGAUAACCUACCUAUAAGACUGGGAUAACUUCGGGAAACCGGAGCUAAUACCGGAUAAUAUAUUGAACCGCAUGGUUCAAUAGUGAAAGACGGUUUUGCUGUCACUUAUAGAUGGAUCCGCGCCGCAUUAGCUAGUUGGUAAGGUAACGGCUUACCAAGGCAACGAUGCGUAGCCGACCUGAGAGGGUGAUAGGCCACACUGGAACUGAGACACGGUCCAGACUCCUACGGGAGGCAGCAGUAGGGAAUCUUCCGCAAUGGGCGAAAGCCUGACGGAGCAACGCCGCGUGAGUGAUGAAGGUCUUCGGAUCGUAAAACUCUGUUAUUAGGGAAGAACAAAUGCGUAAGUAACUAUGCACGUCUUGACGGUACCUAAUCAGAAAGCCACGGCUAACUACGUG